rnacentral:tRNA from 2 species
GGAGGGAUACCCAAGCGGCCAACGGGGGCAGACUGUAAAUCUGCUGGCACAGCCUUCGGAGGUUCGAAUCCUCCUCCCUCCACCA